rnacentral:lncRNA from 1 species
AGGUGCUGCUACAUCUUCUUCCUCCUCUUCUCCCUCGUCCAGCUCCAUCACAGCUGCUGUUAUGUUGACACUAGCUGAACCAUCAAUGUCCAGUGCAUCACAGAAUGGAAUGUCAGUUGAGUGCAGGUGACAGCAGGACUUGCUAGAGCACUUUGCACUUAAUGGCUGUUGAGGGCCACAUCUUUUUUUAUACUGCACAGUGGCACACAAACACACAAAAUCAGACAAGCACUAUUUUAUAUUUAAAAAUUAUUUCUUGACAAGCUGACUUGGCACUUAAGUGCACUUUUUUUAUGAAGAAAAAGUACAACGAACUGCUUUUCCUCAAGCAAUAAUUGUUUCCAACUUGUCUGGGAAUUGCGUGUGUCUGGUAACUUGAAGGCCUUCCACUGUGGCAGAGGAGGCUUUUCACUGCCUGUAGAGACGACACAGUAGGCAGAGAAAAGGUGGGCCAGAACAUGUGAGAAGACUUACUGUAUAUGUAUUCCCUUGUAUUUUGUUAAAGCUGGAACAUUUGAUAUUUUUCCAUUCAUUUAUUAAAAAUAUGAACCUAUUUUCAUUUGUACAAGCUAAUUGUUUUUUAAAGCAAGUCACUUUAGGGUGACUUUAAUUGUAUAAGUCAAGCACAUGUAACAAAUUCAAGACUUGCAGUUAGUUAACAGGAUAUUAUUAGACAUCAUCCUGGUAACCAAAUAUUAAAGAUUCUCUUUAAAAAUGACUGAACAUGUUUACAGGUUUGAAUUAGGCUAAAAGGUCUGUGGUGGCUUUUCACACCCCUUCAAAUUGAAAUGGGACUACUGUACUUUGCCAUUUUUCUAUAAAUCAGUAUUUUUUUUUAAUUUUGAUAUAAUACAUUGUGUGAAAAAAGAAAAUGGCUAAUAAACUGUAUUAAAUCUUAAACAAUGUAUAAAGAUUGUACUUAGCCAGUUCAAAGUGUAUAUUUAUUCAUAAUGAAUUAUAACAGUUAUAUUUUUGUGUUUUCUUGUAAAUGUUUCUUUUCCCUUAAAUACAGAUAAUUCAUUUGUAUUGCUUAUUUUAUUAUGAGCUUACAACAAAAAGACUUCAGGAACAAACUGUUAGAAUGGUUCAAGGUUGUUUAUAUGACCUGCCUCACAAAGAUGGUUAUUAUUUUAAGUAUAAGUAGCUAGUUGGGUAGUAGGCCUAUACAAUUCAAUGCCUUGUAUAAACUGCAGAAUGAACGCCAAGCUGUUUUCACUUGUAUUGACUUUAUGUUGUAUGAUUCCAAUCUCUGUUUGGCACUUGUAUUUAAUUCCCCACCUUUGUAAUACAUUUGUAUAUUGCGGAUGUGUUCAUUGAGGCUAUUUAAAACCUGGCGCUGUUAAUACACAGUACUUCACUGUACAGACCGUUUUACUGUUUUAAUUGUGAUUCUGUGUGCUUUUUUUGAAUGAGGCUGGCAUGUUUUAUUUGUUUUCUGGCAAUACAUGUGAGAAUCUCGAAGCGUUUUGUUGUAGAUGCUAACGUGUCAGAAUCCUUAAUCCUUUACAUUGAACCUUUCUAAGAAAAGCAUUUUCAGUCUUGUAAUGUGUGCUUACAGUAACUAAUUUUGUUGAAAAAUGAUUUCAAAUUACUCAAAUUUGUACAGACUGUAAAGAUUUGUUGACAGCAAAAUGUUGAAGAAAAAACUUAUAGAAUAAAACUAUAAAGUAUAUAUUAGGAUCUGCAAACAUGAUGAAUUAUGUAAUAUAUUGUACAAAUGUAAGCAAAAGCUCUGAAAUAAAAUGCCAUAGUUUGUGAAUCCUUGAUUUUGUUUGUAGAAGGUAAAGUAAUUUGAGUUCACUUUGUAUGUGAUGAGUGCUGAGAGUCCAUGCAGCCUGUAUUACCUAUCACAAGGGCUCACAUCCGUAUCCCAAAGGGAGUGUUCCGCUGUUCAAAAUUAAAAGUCCCUUUAUACAGUGCUGGGUUGUAUAGCAUGUACUUAGUGUGCUCCAGUCCUUGGCUUCAGUUCGCAGCACUGCACCAAAUCAAACCGUAAAUUC